rnacentral:rRNA from 1 species
UACGUAGGGUGCGAGCGUUAAUCGGAAUUACUGGGCGUAAAGCGUGCGCAGGCGGUUUUGUAAGCCAGAUGUGAAAUCCCCGGGCUUAACCUGGGAAUGGCAUUUGGGACUGCAAGGCUGGAGUGCGGCAGAGGAGACUGGAAUUCCUGGUGUAGCAGUGAAAUGCGUAGAUAUCAGGAGGAACACCGAUGGCGAAGGCAGGUCUCUGGGCUGACACUGACGCUCAUGCACGAAAGCGUGGGGAGCAAACGAGGAUAGAA